rnacentral:rRNA from 1 species
GUGUGCCAAAACCGUUACGACCAAUAUGUGAAUGGAUUUUAUCUGUUUGACAGCCUAAAAAAUCGCACAAACAGUGGUAGGAAUUCAAACUCUACCCCACUUCAAUGAAAUAAUUAUCAACCUUGGAUUAGCACAUCAAGAACAGAACAUCAAAUCCAUUAUUAACUUCCAGCAGGAUUAAGCAUCAAUCAUCCAAGUUAGAGGAAUCCUCAAGACAUCACAGAAAGUAAGUCAAUCUGGCAUAUAAGCAUGGGUAUGAAUAAAAAACUACAUAUAUAUUGUCUAUGAAAAACAUCACGGCAAAUUCGGAUCUGCGCAGCAACAUGAUGAGGAGAGAUCUAUCCAGUCCAGACAAAGGGGAUUACAAGCAAACAAAAGAAAAUCGCAUAUGUACAGAAGGAAUGGAUGAAAGGGAAUUACAAGAAAACAAAGGAGAGCAAUCUAUUUCGGAUUUAACAGCAGAAGUGAUAUGCAUCUCGAUUAAGCCAUACAGCUAGAUCACCCGUCUCAAAGGAAUAGAUGGAACAAAAUAAAAAUCACCAAAAAAGAAGUGCAAAUCUGGAACAGAUGAUCAACCAGGAGAAAAGCACAAGUAAUUGACGUGUGAUCCAGCCUCACCCGACCGAAACAAUGAAGAAAAUGAUUUUUCCCGGCCAAAUUCGUGGACGAGGGCCUUGCCCUGGGCAGAUCCGGUGUUCUGCAAACUUGAGUUGAGCCACCGCCGGAGUGGAAGAUGACGCGGGAUCCGGGUGAUUUGGUCGUCGGAGUGGAGGCUUGAACCUGUACAAAUCAAGCUCCCUUAGUCAACGUUAUUCAAAUCUGGCACGGGGACUAGGCACACACGAUGACCUAAGAAAAAAAAGAGGGCACGGAAUACACAUAUCUGGCGCAGUCGACGCCGUUGGUGGACAUCUCGCCGGAUAGCACCCCACCGCCGUCGCCCGAGGGGAAAGAGAAGAGGGCAGAGAGGCAAGUCUGUUUUGUGGCUGGGGCUUCUCCCACGGGGCAAAGUUUUGGGAGAGGUGGACGACAAGAUUCUCCUUCCUGUGCUGUGGCCGGGGGCAGUCGCGGGCGAUGGGCCGCACAGAAUACGCCUACACACUCCCUAGGCGUAUCGCGGGCUGUAUUUCACGGCAUAGGCCUGCCAACCCACUGACAGGAUGCACAUCCCAAGGCCCAAAUGGAUGCCCACGAUACCGGCCUACCUGUGGCUCGGCCUCUGAAAAUUCGCACUCCGGUUAUCAUGCCUUUGCAUGGAGACCGAGCUAAGAGCCGCGGAAGAGAUGACUUCAAACGUGUGGAUGCGAAUCACCUCAUUGUUUGGAUAAGGCUUCACAUGAGACCGCUUCAGAUAUGAGUCCCACGGGCCACGUGUCGUCG